rnacentral:tRNA from 1 species
CUGAAUAAAGCAUUGAUCGCAUGCAUCUCACUUACACCGAGAAGACGAGGGCUGUUCCUCUAUUUAGA